UACAGAGGGGGCAAGCGUUGUCCGGAAUCAUUGGGCGUAAAGAGCGUGUAGGCGGCCCGGUAAGUCCGCUGUGAAAGUCCAGGGCUCAACCCUGGGAUGCCGGUGGAUACUGUCGGGCUCGAGUCCGGAAGAGGAGUGUGGAAUUCCUGGUGUAGCGGUGAAAUGCGCAGAUAUCAGGAGGAACACCAAUGGCGAAGGCAGCACUCUGGGACGUGACUGACGCUGAGACGCGAAAGCGUGGGGAGCAAACAGG
rnacentral:rRNA from 1 species